rnacentral:rRNA from 1 species
GACGAACGCUGGCGGCGUGCCUAACACAUGCAAGUCGAGCGAAUGAAGUUCCUUCGGGAAUGGAUUUAGCGGCGGACGGGUGAGUAACACGUGGGCAACCUGCCUCAUAGAGGGGAAUAGCCUUCCGAAAGGGAGAUUAAUACCGCAUAAGAUUGUAGUACCGCAUGAUAAAGCAAUUAAAGGAGCAAUCCGCUAUGAGAUGGGCCCGAGGCGCAUUAGCUAGUUGGUGAGGUAACGGCGCACCAAGGCGACGAUGCGUAGCCGACCUGAGAGGGUGAUCGGCCACAUUGGGUCUGAGACACGGCCCAGACUGCUACGGGAGGCAGCAGUGGGGAAUAUUGCACAAUGGGUGAAACCCUGAUGCAGCAACGCCGCGUGAGUGAUGACGGCCUUCGGGUUGUAAAGCUCUGUCUUCAGGGACGAUAAUGACGGUACCUGAGGAGGAAGCCACGGCUAACUACGUGCCAGCAGCCGCGGUAA